GGGGGAUCGCUUGAGCCUGGAAGUUUCAGAGACCAGCCUGGGCAACAAAAUGGAACCUCAAAAAGUAAAAAUCUUGGCUUGUUUGAAAACACACACACACACACACACACACACACAGCCAAAACAAAUGUGUUUCCCAUCUCGGGCUUGGGCACUGGGUCACAAGCUUGGACAGUGAAGCUACUUCUAAACCCAGCACAGGGUACAGUGGAUGCAGGACAUGGGAUAAAAUCCUGUUAGAUUAAGCCCGUCCCUCUGCUUCUGAGGUCUGGCCUGCCUCCCUGUUCUGGUCAGAACCUGUUUUAUGCAAUUGGAGAGGAGAGGGGUCCCAGGAGUAUUUGCCCUAAUGUGAGAAAUUAGAUUACGGGUCUCUGAAAGGGAUUCUGCAAACCAAUCCUUCUUCCAAGCCUACUCUACGCAUACCUAAUAUUCUUAAGCAGUUACGAAUUUUACAGAGGUCUACAACACUUGACACUCACUCAAGGCAACUCUGAGGAAACUGAGGCUUAAAGGCCACUAGUAAGCAGUGUAAAAAGGACCUGAUCAUGACAAUUAUUCUUUGAGUGCCUACCAUGCAUGUGCUGGGCUCAGGCCCUUCACUCAAACCCUGGCUCGUACUCUCUGAAGGGUCCUGGGUGAGGAAGAUGUCAAGAACCCCAUACCUCAUCACUGACUCCCUGCCGGGGGCAUGUGCUGCUCCCAGCCUGAGAUGAGUGCUGUUCAUUACACGUCAUCUCCAUGAAGCCUCCCGCAUUUGCUCCAGGAAAGGCCCGUUCGCCACCCUGGCGUCAUUCACUCUGUGUUGCUGAUAUUGAGUCUGUUUCCUUCAAGGGGCAACAGGCUACCCAAGGACUGGGGCUGCUGCCUUCAUUUCUGUAACCUCCGGGGGGAGCUCUUGUGUGAGCCGCAUGAUGGAUGCUUGCUAACAGCUCUAGGCAGGAGGCAGAGGGAAACUGAGGUCUGCCGAGUCAUCCCUGGCCCAGGUACUUCAUGCGUGUGCAGUGUUGCUGUGGAAUCUUUACCACAACCUCCCAUCCCUGUUUUACAGAUGAAGAAACAGGCUCAGAAGAGGCAGACGUGUCUAAGGUCACACAAGCCUUGACACCAUGAGCUAGAAGCUGAGGGUGAGGUCACUUCACAUCCCUUCCCUUUAGCUUCUACUCUAUGUGGGUAGCGUCCUCGACACAGAAGGCCUGAUAAAAGAUGGCAAAAUUGCCAGGCAUGGUGUUCCUUGACUUAGCAAAGGGUUGGGCAAAAAGAUGUGGAGACCCCCUCGCCCCAACCGAAUCCCAUCAUUAGCUCUAAACUCAACAGCCCUAAGGGAGCAGAAGGGGGUCUGCUUAGAGAUCCUGGUUCCUUCCAUUUCCUUGAAGUCCGAACCAAAGUCAGAGCUGAAGUUUCAGCUAAAAUUGAAGCCAGGGCUAUUUGCAGAGGCUGCCGCCCUAGUGCGUCCUCUGGUGCUGGCCCAGGUUGGAGCUUUGCGCUAGGGCCCUGCCACACUGCAGGCAGACGCAGGGGUUCUCGCUGCUGUGGGCCGCCUAGUGGAUGGGUAGGUGGGAGCUGUGGCCGAAGGUCUGGCCACACUCACCACCAAGCAUCAGGUUUCCGGACUUUGUGACUGUGCUGGUGCCGCAGCAGAUUCCAACUGUGCACAAAACUCUUACUACAAACAAGGCACUUAGAGGCCUUCUCACCCAUGUGGAGCGCAGGUGCUGCAACAGGUUGGAGCCAAGGCUGAGACUCUUGCCGCAGUCCCCUCAGCGGUAAGGCUUUUAGCCGUGUGAGCGCGCUGGUGCUGGAUCAGGUUGGAGCUGACGCUGAAAGUCUUACCACACUAGGCACAAGCAUAGGGCCGAAGCGAUGGUCACACUCGGGGCAGGAGUGCGGCUUUUCACCGGUGUGUACCCAGUGGUGCUUAACCAGAUCAGAGCCACAUCGGAAGCUUCUGCCAUAACCCGGACAACGGUAAGGCUUGUCACCAGAGGGGCUGCCUUGGUGGUGAAUGAAGCCGGGGAGGCAGGCUGUGGUCAGUCCACAUUUCCGGCACUCGCAGGUUUUGGGGCUUGUAGACGGUUGCUCUUGGCAAAGGCUUCUUCCUCCCCAGGGCUAGAGCCUGACCAUUUUCCGGGCGGGCAGCUGCCCCGACCACACCAGGAAGGGCUGCUCAGGCGGAGCCAC
rnacentral:lncRNA from 1 species